rnacentral:rRNA from 1 species
AUUGAACGCUGGCGGCAGGCCUAACACAUGCAAGUCGAGCGGUAACAGAAAGAAGCUUGCUUCUUUGCUGACGAGCGGCGGACGGGUGAGUAAUGCUUGGGAACAUGCCUUGAGGUGGGGGACAACAGUUGGAAACGACUGCUAAUACCGCAUAAUGUCUACGGCCCAAAGGGGGCUUCGGCUCUCGCCUUUAGCUUGGCCCAAGUGGGAUUAGCUAGUUGGUGAGGUAAUGGCUCACCAAGGCGACGAUCCCUAGCUGGUUUGAGAGGAUGAUCAGCCACACUGGGACUGAGACACGGCCCAGACUCCUACGGGAGGCAGCAGUGGGGAAUAUUGCACAAUGGGCGCAAGCCUGAUGCAGCCAUGCCGCGUGUGUGAAGAAGGCCUUCGGGUUGUAAAGCACUUUCAGUCAGGAGGAAAGGUUAGUAGUUAAUACCUGCUAGCUGUGACGUUACUGACAGAAGAAGCACCGGCUAACUCCGUG